rnacentral:misc_RNA from 1 species
AAGACUAUAGACCUGCGGAGUACCUGCGGAAGGAUCAUUGCUGAUUAUCACUUGAUGGGUUGUAGCUGGCUCCUUGGAGCAUGUGCACACCUGUCUGAUCUUAUUCAUCCACCUGUGCACUUCUGUAGAUCUUGGAUUCACUGUCAAUUGUUACUUCUUGUAGCAGUAUGAGGAAUGCAUUUGGAAUAUACAUCUGCUCUCCUUGUUAAGUGUCUCUCUCAAGGUCUAUGUUACUUUUCA